UGGGGAAUGUAGCUCAGUGGUAGAGCACUUGCCUAGCAUGCAUGAAGUCCUGGGUUCAAUCCUCAGUACCAUAA
rnacentral:tRNA from 1 species